UGUCAUUUUUUCUUAUUUGUCUUCAUAUUAUAUUCAUUGGACAUUUUUUGUAUGUCAUUUUUUUUCACCUUUUUAUGUAUUUUUAUUUGUGUUUGCAAGUUUUCAAAACAUACGCAAGAGUAUGGCCAAUGCAUGAUUGGUUUGUAAUCAGCCAAAGGGAUUCUGUCAUAGAUCUGACAGAAGAACUAGAAAUUUCAAAACAAAGAUGGUCGAAGUAUUUCAUCAUUCAAUGAUAAUUGUUUAUUUAUUUCUUACUUUUUUCAUAUACCUUUUUUCACUCAAAGAAAAAAUCAUCAGGUGGCGCCCUGCUAUUUUAAACAAACCUUGACGACCCACAUGGAAAUUUGCAUGCAAGCUAUAUCGUCUCGCGGCAGAAGUUAUGAUUUUUUAUAGAGGAUGAGGAUGUCAAGUCGCAUAUUUAUGGAGCUUAUUGGAAAGCUUUUGUGCGAGCACAUCAGAUAGAGUUUGUUGAUGUUGUUUGUUUUGAGCCUGUAGCUUGGGGUAAUCCAACGUUACAGUGUUUGAUGAAGAAGAAAAUGAGAAGAUUGACAAUCACAGUGCUGGGAUAAUGCUAGUCCCGAACGAUGUUCGUGUGAUUUUCCAAGAUAUUUCUUUCACAGACUUGUGUAGUCUAACCGACAAUGCUAUCGGAGGGCUUAUCGGCACCCUAUCAAGCGACGCAGAGCUGGACAUGACCUUAUUGAUGCGGCAACUGGUGCGCCUGUCGGGAAUCGUCUCAUGCACACACUAACUGACGAAUAUAUCGAAGAGAAUGAAUUUGUAUGUCUAGAUAAAGUUUUUCUAGGGUUGGCGUUUUUUUCUCUCUUUCUUUUUUGUACCGGUACUCAAAGAAGUUUGUUUAUUAAAGACUAUUCCGAUAGAGUUCAUUGACUCUCAAGAAAUGGAUGAAGAAGGACAAGUUUUUUUAUGGAAUACUCCCUCCGUCUGGAAAACUUGCCCCCGUGGCAAUUUUGCGAAAACCCCCUCACGGUAUUCCCAACAAGCGACACACUCCCCCACCCCCGCUCCUCUCCCCGCCAGUUCCCCCUGCUCGUAUCCCUUGCCGAAGCCCUCUGCUCGGCUCCCCAAGAAGCUUCCGCUGGCGUCGGCGGAGAUUCCCCGCAUAGCUCCCUGCUCUGCUCCCCUCCUUGUUCCCCUCCUCCGCCGCGUCGCUUCCCCGGGCGAGGAGAAGCCUCGAUUUUUCUGACCUCCCCCACAGAAGCCGCAGCUGCCCUGCUCCACCACCGCCGCAACUGCCUCCUCCGCCGCUCUCUCCUGCUCGCGCAGCUCCAGCUUGCCUUCCUCCCCUAGCUUCCCCCCUCCCUAGUGACCUCUGCUCUCUGCUCCAGCUGCUUCAGAUCCGGCGUCGGCAAGGCUGAUAUGGUGGUUGCGAGGCCAGACGGCAGGAGAAGUAGCCGACGAGCCCGACGACAACAAGCUCGAUGGCGGUGGAGACGUCUUCUCUACUGCGAGCUCCACCAUACCUGCAUAUAUUGUACUGCGAGCUCGACGACGGCGGUGGCGUCUUCUUGAAAUUGGAGCUUGGGUUCUUCUCAGCGGCAGCAGCACGAGCAGACCCGCCGAGGAGGAGCAGCAACUUGCAGACGAGCAACAGGUCGAGGAGAGGAGUGGGGGAAACAACAGGGAGCUCGAGGUUGAGGAUGAACUUCAGUUCCAGGCCCGCCGGGAGCUCCAGGUCCAGGCGCUCGAGACCUAAGCUGGCGCAGGCCCUGGGUGGCGGGAGGGGAUAGCGGCGCAGCCCUGGGCGGCGGAGGGGGUCACGGCGGGAGAAGAUGGCGGCGGCGCAGCGCCCUUCAGCCGUGUUGCCGCCGCCCGUCGAGGUGGUCGCCGCAGAGUAGCAGGUGGACGACGCAGCUCGCCUCGGGCCGCACAGGUGGGCACAGGCGGCGGUGGUUCACAGCGGUGGCGCAGCUCGCCUCGGGCGGUGGUGGUUCACAGCGGCAGCGCAGGCCGUGGCCGUCGUCACGCGCUCGGCCCUACGACGGUGGCUUGGGCGACCACGGUGCACGCGGCCGACGGAGAAAGGAGGAAGAAGCAGGGGGCUGAUUAGCAAGAGAUUUGAAGAUGAAAGAGAAAAGAAGGGCAACAGAUGUUGCGGGCCGUCGCAGCACUGCUGGUUGAUGUUGAGAACGGGUUCUUCAACAAGAGCAAAGGAUGGGCGCCCAUGAUGAAACGUCUUGGCGUUGGGAAGUAAUUCUGCCUGUACUGUUAGCUGAACUACUGUUCUCCCUGGAGAGUCUGUGGCGAUGAGCGCCCUGUGUGGUUACCUCUCACCUGAGUGUGCAUUCUGAGUGUGGAGUUCCUUUUUUUUUAGUUCCAAGCUUUAUUCUCUUGGCUGUCUAGUUGCUGAUGCCUGGAUGUCACGGUAGGACAUCUGGGCUGGAUGGAAUCUAAGAUUACUCACUCUGUUUAUUGGUUUCCUUUCAUGCAAUGAAAUGAAAUCGGGGGCAUGCACCUCAAUCCAACAAAAAACAUUAACAAAAGAUGCGCCUACCAAGUAACAAGUCAAAAUCUAAAUUCAAUGCACACUUGAGAAAAAAAAAAAGACAACGUGCACUGUGAAUAGUAGCUGAUUUCAAUUUGUGCUGUGAAUAGUAGCUACUAUUC